AAUCAACGCUGGCGGCGCGCUUAACACAUGCAAGUCGAGCGAGAAAGCGGGAGCAAUCCCGUGAGUACAGCGGCGCACGGGUGAGUAACACGUGGAUGAUCUGCCUCCGAGUGGGGAAUAACUCUGGGAAACCGGAGCUAAGACCGCAUACGCCUGAGAAGGGAAAGCCGCAAGGCGCUCGGAGAGGAGUCCGCGGCCGAUUAGCUAGUUGGUAGGGUAAGAGCCUACCAAGGCGGGGAUCGGUAGCCGGCCUGAGAGGGCACACGGCCACACUGGC
rnacentral:rRNA from 1 species